UACGGAGGGAGCUAGCGUUAUUCGGAAUUACUGGGCGUAAAGCGUACGUAGGCGGCUUUGUAAGUAAGAGGUGAAAGCCCGGAGCUCAACUCCGGAACUGCCUUUAAGACUGCAUCGCUAGAAUUGUGGAGAGGUAAGUGGAAUUCCGAGUGUAGAGGUGAAAUUCGUAGAUAUUCGGAAGAACACCAGUGGCGAAGGCGACUUACUGGACACAUAUUGACGCUGAGGUGCGAAAGCGUGGGGAGCAAACAGG
rnacentral:rRNA from 1 species